rnacentral:rRNA from 1 species
GGGCCCGCACAAGCGGUGGAGCAUGUGGUUUAAUUCGAAGCAACGCGAAGAACCUUACCAGGCCUUGACAUCCCCUGACCGUCAUGGAAACAUGGCUUCUCUUCGGAGCAGGGAGACAGGUGGUGCAUGGUCGUCGUCAGCUCGUGUCGUGAGAUGUUGGGUUAAGUCCCGCAACGAGCGCAACCCUUGCCUUUAGUUGCCAUCAUUAAGUUGGGCACUCUAGAGGGACUGCCGGUGACAAACCGGAGGAAGGUGGGG